CAUUCAAUUUUGUGCUUUUGGAAAUCAAAUUGGAUAUUUUAUUUGGAAAUCGUAUUCCAUAUUCGUAACAAACCGGAUUUGCUAAACACGUGCUUUAUUGAAUUGUACGGUUUGUGUUGUUGUUAGUGUGGUGUUUUAUUUCUUCGCGGGCCAGGCGAACUUUGUCUCGCCCCUAAUUGUUCUUUUAUAUAGUUCUAGAGUACUAUUCUAUUUCAUUCAAUUUUGUGCUUUUGGAAAUCAAAUUGGAUAUUUUAUUUGGAAAUCGUAUUCCAUCAAAUAAAAUGCCACGACCAAGGCGUACUAAUAUUAGUCGCCGUUCACGUAAUGCUUAUACUUUAAGGUCGAAUAGAACAUUGCAAAGUGAGGAAUAGCGUGCACAAAUUAAUGCAGAUAGAAGAGAUCGAUAUGCACGAAAUCGAAACUCACCUAAUCGAUCUCUUGAUAGGCAGCCACUUCGCCAAUGCGAGCGGGAGUUCGUGUUUUGCAGCAAACGCUCCUUGCUGCUUUUAAUUACAAUAGUGCGAUUGAUUACAGUGAAUAUGGCUGUAUUGGUGGAAUGACGGUGAGAUGUGCACAUUGUGGUGCAGCCAAAUUUCCAAAUGAAACAGAUGGCAUGUGCUGUGCUAACGGCAAAGUGAAAUUGCCAACAUUUGAACCUCCACCCGAUCCACUACGUUCGCUGAUUUUUGGAAUGGUAUCAACGUCGACACAUUUUUUGUCUCAUAUUCAAGAAUACAAUGAAGUGACAAUCAAGUGACUUCUUUUGGUGCGACAAAAAUUGUAAGAGGCAAUUAUAUGCCGACGUUCAAGGUGAUUAGUUCUUCUUCCUUCUUCUUCAUCCUCCUUCCUCCUUCUUCUUUCUCCUCCUUCUUCUUCUUCCUUCUUCGUCUCACAUAUUACAGAUUCAGGGUCAGAUUUACCACCGCGCUGGCUUAUUAUUACCAUAUCCUGAUACCGACCAUCAAUUCUUACAAAUCUAUUUCGUUGGAAAUGAAAAUCGCGAAUUGGAUCGGCGAUGUACAAUUGCAAGGGGGCAAGGCGACAAAUUGUUUCUGAGCUUCAAACAUUUUUUUAUCAACACAAUGAAUUAGUUCGAUUAUUCAAAAUCGCUCUCGAUCGUAUGCCAUCGGCUAACCACAAAAUCAUCUUAAAAGCCGAUAGAACACCCAUUCGAGAGGAUGCAAGACGAUUUAAUGCACCGACAAUCGAUGAUGUGGCUAUUGUAAUUGUUCGGGACCAGUUUUAAUCUCGCGACAUCGUGCUACAUCGAAGAAAUGAGCAAUUACAGCGUGUUUCAGAGCUUCACCGCAGCUAUGAUGCAUUACAAUAUCCAUUAUUGUACUGGAAAGGUGAUGACGCCUAUAAUAUCAAUAUACCAAUGAUAGAUCCACAAACCAGUAGAGUAUAAUAUAAAUUCAAUAUGCAUUCAUUUUAACACAAGAAGAAAUUUUAAUUUUUUAAACAUUACAGGUCGUGACAUUCAAAAAAAGUUAGUGCGAUGAACUAUUAUUCGUACAGAUUCAUUAUUCGCCCAGAAGAAGACAAUUUCAUUUUGAGAUUUGGCAAACUUUUCAAUCAAUACGCUGUUGACAUGUACGCAAAAAUAGAAACAGAAAGUCUGAAUUACCUUCGAUUCAAUAAAGCAAAUUUACGAUCGGAAGAAUAUAUACAUUUGCGAGAUGCAAUAGUGAAUGAUGGUAAUGCAAAUGAUAUCGGACGUUUAACAAUAUUACCAUCCACAUAUGUCGGCAGUCCGCGUCACAUGCUUGAAUACACGCAAGAUGCAAUGUCAUGUGAGUGCUACUGCACGCACACAUAUUGAUAUGGUUGAUUCAAAAAGAUACACCAAAUGAGAUUGAUCGCAUUAUAUCAGCCGAAAUUCCAGAUCAAAACAGCGAUCCACAAUUAUUUCAAUUUGUUACGAAAAACAUGAUUCA